rnacentral:rRNA from 1 species
GGUGAAAAGCACCCCGGAAGGGGAGUGAAAUAGAACCUGAAACCGUGUGCUUACAAGUAGUCAGAGCCCGUUAAUGGGUGAUGGCGUGCCUUUUGUAGAAUGAACCGGCGAGUUACGAUUUGAUGCAAGGUUAAGCAGUAAAUGUGGAGCCGUAGCGAAAGCGAGUCUGAAUAGGGCGUUUAGUAUUUGGUCGUAGACCCGAAACCAGGUGAUCUACCCUUGGUCAGGUUGAAGUUCAGGUAACACUGAAUGGAGGACCGAACCGACUUACGUUGAAAAGUGAGCGGAUGAACUGAGGGUAGCGGAGAAAUUCCAAUCGAACCUGGAGAUAGCUGGUUCUCUCCGAAAUAGCUUUAGGGCUAGCCUCAAGUGAUGAUUAUUGGAGGUAGAGCACUGUUUGGACGAGGGGCCCCUCUCGGGUUACCGAAUUCAGACAAACUCCGAAUGCCAAUUAAUUUAACUUGGGAGUCAGAACAUGGGUGAUAAGGUCCGUGUUCGAAAGGGAAACAGCCCAGACCACCAGCUAAGGUCCCAAAAUAUAUGUUAAGUGGAAAAGGAUGUGGCGUUGCCCAGACAACUAGGAUGUUGGCUUAGAAGCAGCCAUCAUUUAAAGAGUGCGUAAUAGCUCACUAGUCGAGUGACACUGCGCCGAAAAUGUACCGGGGCUAAACAUAUUACCGAAGCUGUGGAUUGUCCUUUGGACAAUGGUAGGAGAGCGUUCUAAGGGCGUUGAAGCAUGAUCGUAAGGACAUGUGGAGCGCUUAGAAGUGAGAAUGCCGGUGUGAGUAGCGAAAGACGGGUGAGAAUCCCGUCCACCGAUUGACUAAGGUUUCCAGAGGAAGGCUCGUCCGCUCUGGGUUAGUCGGGUCCUAAGCUGAGGCCGACAGGCGUAGGCGAUGGAUAACAGGUUGAUAUUCCUGUACCACCUAUAAUCGUUUUAAUCGAUGGGGGGACGCAGUAGGAUAGGCGAAGCGUGCGAUUGGAUUGCACGUCUAAGCAGUAAGGCUGAGUAUUAGGCAAAUCCGGUACUCAUUAAGGCUGAGCUGUGAUGGGGAGAAGACAUUGUGUCUUCGAGUCGUUGAUUUCACACUGCCGAGAAAAGCCUCUAGAUAGAAAAUAGGUGCCCGUACCGCAAACCGACACAGGUAGUCAAGAUGAGAAUUCUAAGGUGAGCGAGCGAACUCUCGUUAAGGAACUCGGCAAAAUGACCCCGUAACUUCGGGAGAAGGGGUGCUCUUUAGGGUUAACGCCCAGAAGAGCCGCAGUGAAUAGGCCCAAGCGACUGUUUAUCAAAAACACAGGUCUCUGCUAAACCGUAAGGUGAUGUAUAGGGGCUGACGCCUGCCCGGUGCUGGAAGGUUAAGAGGAGUGGUUAGCUUCUGCGAAGCUACGAAUCGAAGCCCCAGUAAACGGCGGCCGUAACUAUAACGGUCCUAAGGUAGCGAAAUUCCUUGUCGGGUAAGUUCCGACCCGCACGAAAGGCGUAACGAUUUGGGCACUGUCUCAACGAGAGACUCGGUGAAAUCAUAGUACCUGUGAAGAUGCAGGUUACCCGCGACAGGACGGAAAGACCCCGUGGAGCUUUACUGUAGCCUGAUAUUGAAAUUCGGCACAGCUUGUACAGGAUAGGUAGGAGCCUUUGAAACGUGAGCGCUAGCUUACGUGGAGGCGCUGGUGGGAUACUACCCUAGCUGUGUUGGCUUUCU